rnacentral:lncRNA from 1 species
AUGGGAGGAUUGGCAUAUAACUUUUACUAUCAAUACGUUGUUCAUGAAUAUUUAUCACGUUCUGGUCUUGCACAUCACUUUCUUGUGAGUUUCUACUUUGUGUUUCUCUCAAUGGCACGGCCUCGUCUGGAAGGUUAAGAAUAGUAACUUUGUGCACAUCAUUGUCGCCCGAGAUCGAUUGGUCUGCUGCAGCAUGGGGCUUAGGGUUAACUG